UAGCUCAGUUGGGAGAGCACGGUGCUUGCAACGCCAGGGUUGUGGGUUCGAUUCCCAC
rnacentral:tRNA from 1 species